rnacentral:rRNA from 1 species
AUGGCAGCUUGUGUCUUCUUGUUCAGCUCAGUUACUCCACUAAUUGCUGGUUAUUGUGGCCUUCUCUUUAAUGUGGGACUUCUUGGUUUUGUAGUUCUUUGGUGGAAUGCUUAUGGUGGCCUUGCUUUUGACCUCCAAACUCUUGCAAAGCGAAUCAUUAGUCUAUGUUGUUCAGCAUCUGGCUGCGAGCGCAAUUGGAGUGUAUUUGCUCAUAUCCACACCAAAGGGAGAAACCGUCUAGAGUACAAGAGAUUGAACAAGCUAUCAUAUGUCUCGUACAACCGGAAAAUGGAAGCUAGGUUUCAGAAUCUGCGUGAGCAAGGCUCUAAAGCAAAGAAAUCUAGUCCACUUGUCCUAGAAGAAUUUGAAUGGGAUAAUGAAUGGGUUGAUAUCAAUGCUGAAAUGGUACAUGAAGAUCAAGCUCAAGUCAUGGACGGUGAAACACCACUACUUUGGUCUCAGGUUGAUGAAGCCAUGGGUGCAUCAACUUCUCUAGCAGGCCGCAACUAUCCUAGGAGAGCUCGUGGUGAUCCUAGCGAGCCUAUUGCACGACCCAUAGGCCCUUAUAUCACCUACACUCGGAACAACGCAAGAACAAGGCUGGUUGUGCAUGAUGAAGAGUUGAGGGCUGAAUUAGAAGCGGCAGAAUAUGACAAAGACAUGGAGAGCAGUGAUGAAGACGAUGCUGAAUCACCAGAUGAUGAAGACACUGAUUUUCAGCUUCAAGACAUGGAGCUUGAGGCUUGA